AUUGAACGCUGGCGGAAUGCUUUACACAUGCAAGUCGAACGGCAGCACGGGGGCAGCCCUGGUGGCGAGUGGCGAACGGGUGAGUAAUACAUCGGAACGUGCCCGGUCGUGGGGGAUAACGUAGCGAAAGUUACGCUAAUACCGCACACGAUCUGAGGAUGAAAGCGGGGGACCUUCGGGCCUCGCGCGAUCGGAGCGGCCGAUGUCAGAUUAGGUAGUUGGUGGGGUAAAGGCCUACCAAGCCGACGAUCUGUAGCUGGUCUGAGAGGACGACCAGCCACACUGGGACUGAGACACGGCCCAGACUCCUACGGGAGGCAGCAGUGGGGAAUUUUGGACAAUGGGCGCAAGCCUGAUCCAGCCAUUCCGCGUGCAGGACGAAGGCCUUCGGGUUGUAAACUGCUUUUGUACGGAACGAAAAGGCUCUGGCUAAUACCUGGGGCUCAUGACGGUACCGUAAGAAUAAGCACCGGCUAACUACGUG
rnacentral:rRNA from 1 species